rnacentral:rRNA from 1 species
UACGGAGGAUGCAAGCGUUAUCCGGAAUGAUUGGGCGUAAAGGGUCCGCAGGUGGCAGUGUAAGUCUGCUGUCAAAGAAUGAGGCUUAACCUUAUCAAGGCAGUGGAAACUACACAGCUAGAGUACGGUCGGGGUAGAAGGAAUUCCUGGUGUAGCGGUGAAAUGCGUAGAGAUCAGGAAGAACACCCGUGGCGAAGGCGGCUCUCUGGGACGGUACUGACGCUGAGACGCGAAAGCGUGGGGAGCGAACAGG